rnacentral:tRNA from 1 species
CGCGGAGUGGAGCAGUCUGGUAGCUCGUCGGGCUCAUAACCCGAAGGUCAUAGGUUCAAAUCCUGUCUCCGCAACCA